CAGCCGCCGCGGUAAGACAGAGGAUGCAAGCGUUAUCCGGAAUGAUUGGGCGUAAAGCGUCUGUAGGUGGCUUUUCAAGUCAGUCGCCAAAUCCCUGGGCUCAACCCUGGACAAGCAGUGGAAACUACCAAGCUGGAGUAUAGUAGGGGCAGAGUGAAUUUCCGGUGGAGCGAUGGAAUGCGUUGAGAUCAUAAAGAACAACAAUGGCGAAAGCACUCUGCUGGGCCGACAUUGACACUGAGAGAUGAAAGCAAGGGGAGAAAAUUGGAUUAGAUACCCCCGUAGUCCCUGUCUCUUAUAA
rnacentral:rRNA from 1 species